rnacentral:lncRNA from 1 species
ACAACACAUGAAAAAUCAAUGGAUCUAUUUUAAUUAACAAAGCUUAGAUGUUUGCUACACACAUACACACUACAAUUUAACAUAUCAUUUGUUUCUAAAAGUGUGGUAACAAACACAAGUGCUUCCCACAACUAAGGUAAUUAAGUAACAAUGUGGACAAUGUAAGUUGAACUACAAAAGGGCAAUAUACAGAAAAAAUGGAUAAAAGGUCUAGGAAUAAAGAGAAACCAAAUCGUGGUGUUUGGACUCCUUGAGGAAGAAGGUUUGUCAAAUGACCAAAAUACCCUCGUUAUACAUAUAUGACAAAAUAAGUAAAAACAAGAAACUAAUCAGUUGUAUGCUAUGCUUAUAUUGUUGGCAGGAGAGAACAAGUAGAUGGUGGAUGAAAGAAAAGGCACACUAAAUCAAUCAUAAAAGUGGCCUUAAUUAUAUAGGCUUAGAAGAGAUUAUGACAACCUACAAAUAGGAAACUGACACAAGAAAAAUAAAACUGCUACGUGCUAAAUAACACAGCUAAUUAGCAUUUAUUCAAAUUAAAACUUGAAAAUGAAGAGACUUUGAAGUACUUUGAUUAGCAAUUAAUCAACAUAUAUUUCUCGUGCAGAAGCAAAGUGUAUGACACUGGAAGUGGACAUGGUGGUCAUGAUAUUGGUUAGUCUCAUCUUUGAAACUAAAAAAAAAGACAAUAAAUAUGAGAUAUAAACACAUGAAAGGAUGAUAUAAAGCAUAAAAUAAACAAAUAUUUCACCUGGAUUUAUAGCUAUGAAAUUUACUUAUCUGAACUGAAGAAGGUCUAAAUGAAAGAAAUAACAACGCAUUUCCAUUUAUUCGUUUAUUAUAACAUCCUACUUUCAUUUCUUUAUAUUGCAGUAACGGAAAUCCUUUGUAUUUGAAUGAAAUUGCAAUAAAUGGGUGAGUUACUUAAAUUACAAUGCUUUAAUAGGAAAAAAUGAAAGUAAGAUGCUCUUAUAAUCAUAUCAGUGAAAGUAAAAUGCUAUUUCUAUAAUUUUAGACUUUAAUAAAUGACCCAAGACUACCAUAUAGGUACUUUGAAAAUCCACCCAACUAUAGCAUUGUACUUUCGACUUUUCUUAUCAGGCCGUUGUAGCCACAUAUAAUUGGGUAUAUUUUUUCAAAGUAUGAUGCUAUAAUGGGAAGAAAUGAAAGUAGGAUGAUGUAAUAAGAAAAUAAAGGAAAGUAUGUUGAACAGAGAAAAUGACUAAAAAUAUAGUGGUUUUUCUGUAUAUGGUUUAUGAAGAGAAAA